rnacentral:lncRNA from 1 species
UGGCGCAAGGUCAGUGGGCCGACGCUGUCUUUUUAAGUUGAAUUCAAUGUUCUAAUUUCAAAAUUGAUAACCGUUUGAUAUAGUUCGAUAGUUUGAACCUAGUAUGGUGAAGUACGUUACUUGAUCAUUUUAUGAUUAGACAAUCCAACCGUUGGAUUGUCAUCAAAAUUUAAUACGUUAUAGUACGUAAUAUUUGAGGAUAUUAGAAAUUGAUGGAUCAGGAAUCUAACAUAAGGAUCUUCUCAAAUUGGGUUUGUAAGUUCGUAAAAUAACACGUUAACUGCCACUAGAAUUGGUGAUUAGCGGACAUCGGAUCGUAAUAAAAUUUUAGCAUGUUGUUUUAGAAGCAUAAUGUGAACUUUAGAAAGUUACGGAUCUGAAAUCCAAUGUGCGGAUCUUCCAAAUCGAAUUAUGUAGAAUUGUGGACCCUACCUUUGAUCGAAAGCUAACUUUUGGUCAACAUGUCUCGAAACGUUCUAAAUACUAAAAUUAGUACUACGGGAGAUUAAGUGAAGUCUAGUGGCCUACAUUGGUUAGAGAGUGGCUUGAAUAUAUGUGAUAUGGUUAUUACCUUAAUUUCUUAUAUUAAUAUCAUUUGUGAAUAUGACUUGGUAUUAUAAAUGUGAUUUCUAUUGAAAUGUGAUUUUUGUAUAUUUAGCCUAGAAUUAUGUUGGGUAAUUACAUAGUAGCCCCUCAGGUUUGAGGUCUAUUACAACCUCAUACAACGUUUUAAAACAUUUCACUUUCAUACAUCAUGUACCAUUUUAUUUCAAAAUAAUACCUCCGUUAGAUUUUCCAUCCAUUAAUAUGUUAAAUGCUGACGUACAUUUGUGCUAAUGUGGCUGCCACGUGGUAAAAAAAAAAUAUUUUUUAUACAUUAAAAAUAUUAUAAUAUUAACCCAAUUUAUAAAAUUAAAAAAAUUAAAAAA